UACGAAGGGGGCUAGCGUUGCUCGGAAUGACUGGGCGUAAAGGGCGCGUAGGCGGUUUGUAGAGUCAGGCGUGAAAUUCCUGGGCUCAACCUGGGGGCUGGGUUUGAUACGUAUGAGCUUGAGUUCGGAAGAGGGUCGUGGAAUUCCCAGUGUAGAGGUGAAAUUCGUAGAUAUUGGGAAGAACACCGGUGGCGAAGGCGGCGACCUGGUCCGAUACUGACGCUGAGGCGCGAAAGCGUGGGGAGCAAACAGG
rnacentral:rRNA from 1 species